rnacentral:rRNA from 1 species
UAACUGAAGAGUUUGAUCAUGGCUCAGAUUGAACGCUGGCGGCAGGCUUAACACAUGCAAGUCGAGCGGGGGAAGGUAGCUUGCUACUGGACCUAGCGGCGGACGGGUGAGUAAUGCUUAGGAAUCUGCCUAUUAGUGGGGGACAACAUCUCGAAAGGGAUGCUAAUACCGCAUACGUCCUACGGGAGAAAGCAGGGGAUCUUCGGACCUUGCGCUAAUAGAUGAGCCUAAGUCGGAUUAGCUAGUUGGUGGGGUAAAGGCCUACCAA